rnacentral:sRNA from 1 species
UUCCUACCUAAGAUGAGAGCCUUUUU